GUAAAUAUAGUUUAAAAAAACAUUAGACUGUGAAUCUAACAAUAGAAGUCCACUACCUUCUUAUUUACC
rnacentral:tRNA from 1 species